rnacentral:lncRNA from 1 species
UGGCCUGGAACUUGUGUCUCUGAACCUAUGGUGUAACAUGAAAAGAAAGCACCAUACCGCAAAUGCGUCAGUACGUGGGAAUGUACUGAGUAUACGAGUGAGGUAGGCUGAAUAUAAAUAGGGUUACAUGCAUGAACAAUGCUAACUAACUGACUGAUAUGAAUGUAAGAGUGUAAAUGUGCAUACAUAGUAACUGGAAUCGUGAAUGCGUGAUAGCUAGAUCUAUAAGCUAAUACAUGGUUUACUGAUAACUAACAUAACUGAUACUGUAGUUCUGAUAACAUGAGCGACUGUAUCUGACAGUCUUGAAAUUGAUGGAACUAUCUAAGUUCCAUACUGUAACUAAAUUUAACUGUAUCUGACAGUCCUGAUAUACUGAAAUCUGAAGAAAUAUCUGAGUUGUUUUACUAAGACUAUUACUGAAACUAUGGAGGUAGUUGUUUAACCUACAUACCCCUAUAUGUGCCAUUAUGGCUAAGCUGGGGUCCAAUCUCUGCCCUGACUGGAAGGGUGUCAAUACCGCACCACUGGUAAGGACAACUGUGGGUAACCCUCAUCUGACCGUGUUCCCAGAAGAGAAUGAUAGGGCCCUCAUUUGAAAGUGCUAAGCCAUCUCAUAAACCCUCAUCUGAAAGUGUUGAUGUCUCAACCUAUGCUGGCUAUAUAGUUUUAGAACGCAAAGAAUGACUGCUAAGAGUCACACCCUCAUCUGACAGUGUGUGUUCCCAUCCUUGGGUUCACUCGGUGCUAACUUUUACUCCCAUCUGAAGAGACUGAACAUAAAUAACUGACUGAAUAUGUACUGAGCUAACUGAAUUUCGUUGACUGACUGAAUACUACUGAUAUCUGAUAACUGAAUGAGAUCAUGAGGUUUUCCUGAGUCACCUGACUGACUGAAUUCUACUAAAUCAUGGCUUGAUUUUAGAUAUCGUGAAACAUAACAUGGCUCUAGGCGCACAUCUAUAUUUUUCGGGUAUGAAUACCCCCAGGACUCGAUAGAAGGAAACUGACAUAACUUGAUCACAAGAUUUGAUUCCACAAUUCAUAAUAUCAUAAGUAGGGGAUAUUAUACUUCAUGUAGUUAUUCAACAUCUUAAACAUUGUAGGGAAUGCAUGGAUAUAUUUUGUGUACAUAUUUUAUAUCUCCAUUAUCAUACAUGCUUCAUACCACAACAAUAGCUAACAUGGACUUGUCAUUUAGAUAUCAUGAAACUAUGUAAACAUGAAUUUCUAGCAUCCCAAGCAUUUUGUCAAACACCUUGCAUGCAAUCUUUAAGGAAUAGGUGUGUUUCAUGACUUGUACCAUAUUACACCACCUAGUUCAUAGUUUUCAACUAACAAACAUAUACAUUUCAUGAAAACACUUGUAGAUAUCAUCUUGAAACUUAAACAACAAUCAUCAACAUGUACAUGCUCAUAUCACCACAAAAAAUUUCACAAAAUAGUAUUUAAAAUAUGGUUCUUGAGCUCUAUGAACGAAAAGGAUCCAUAGAUGAACACUACGCAUACCUUAGAUUAAUAAUCCCUGAAGAUAGUGUGAAAUAAACUUGGAAUUUGAAACCCCUAAUUGAACCCUAGACUUGUUCUUGGUUGUUCUUGAGAGUAAUUCAACAAAAGCACAAUAUUUUGGUGUUUUAGAGCUCAAAUCCCGUGUUAAUAAGAUUAUAUAUGGGUGGAGAAUGACCAAAAAGCCCUUAAAUGCACGGAGGUGGAAUAUUGAAAAACCUGGGUAGCACUAGACUUAGUAGGCGUCGCCUGGCCUAGAGUACUGCUCUAGCCAGGGCGACGCGGGCUUAUCGCCCCGAGCUACUGUUUUUCACAUCCAAACUUGCCCUUACGCCAUCCAAAAAAUUCUGAAACUUACUCAAAAUGUACUAUGACCUUGCCCCAUUGCAACGCAACUUGAAAAUUGAAAAACGAAGGUCGAUAAGGUCGUCAAAUAAAUCCCUGAAGUUUGGAUGUCUAAAAUGAGACUAAGUGUUGGACUUUAUCAAAAUUUGCUAAGUCUUGAGGCUUGUAGAGCCAAAUGAGCUGAAUUCUAGACUUAGGAUUUUAUGGGGUCUUACAUGACUACUUUUUUGUAAAAUUUUAUGGAUAAGUAUGUGAUCAUCAAGCAAAGACUGAUUGCAUCUGGAUAAGUGGGUUUUUCUUUAAACUUUUCGUAGUGAACAUGCAUCGGAUGUACUCGGUCAAUCGGUAGAUUCGAUAUCUUUGAACUGCCGAGCUUUAAUGUACACCUAGACAACAUAUGUCACACAACCAGCCUUUUACCAUUUAUGGUUCUCACGAUUUUGUUCUUUUCAGCCAUGAACACGUCUCGAUUUCAUGAGAGCUUAGAGAAUAGACCUUUACUAAUAUUUUCCUUGAAGUGGCUUCCACUUCGCCCUCACAUAGGUGAUUUCUAAAUGUUUAAUCCUAUAGAUUAAACUAUUUGGUCAAAUCUACCAAAUUUAGAUAAUCAUUAAAAAACUUUUAACCUUAAGUCUUAUCCUUGUUUAGUAAAUAUUGUUUACAUCAUGAGAAUGAGUUGGGUAAUUGACAAUGUUGAACCUAUCAGACAUAACUUUGUUUGAUCUCCUUGAACCUAGAUCUUGUGAUCUCCAGUCUGUUAGGUAGAGUUAUUGCCAUACUGACUUGUCCUAGGCCUUAAACCCAUUCCCUUGGAUGUCCUUUCCACUCCUUCUCUAGAUAGGCCUUUCGUAAGUAGAUUCGAUACAUUAUCCUUUGACUUUACGUAGUCAACAGUGAUAAUUCCACUAGAGAGAAGUUCCCUAACGAUAUUAUGUCUCUGUCUUAUGUGAUGAGAUUUAUCGUUAUACAUCACGCUCCCUGCCCUACCUAUUGCCGCUUGGUUAUCACAGUGUAUACAUACUGGUGCCACUGUUUUGGUUCAAUAAGGAAUAUCUUCUGAGAAAUUUUGGAGCCAUUCUGCUUCUUUACCGGCUUUAUCCAAUGCGAUAAAUUCAGAUUCUAUUGUAGAGCGAGCAAUACAUGUCUGUUUGGAUGAUUUCCAAGAGACUACUCCUCCACCGAUAGUAAAUACAUAUCCAUUUAUGGAUUUUACUUCGUUCGAUCCGAUGAUCCAAUUUUCAUCACUGUAUCCUUCAAGUACCACAGGAUAUUUAUUAUAAUGCAAGGCAUAUUCUUGAGUGUAUUUCAGAUAUUCCAAAACGCUUUUCAUUGCCAUCCAAUGAGUUUUGUUGGGAUUACUCGUGCACCGACUCAAUUUACUAAUAGAGCAUGUUAUGUUUGGUCGUGUACAAUUCAUUAUAUACAUUAAACAUUCAAAUACUCUUGUGUACUCCAAUUGUGAGUCACUUUCACCUUCAUUCUUUUGAAGAACAAAACUCACAUCCAUUAGAGUCUUGGCAAUACUGAAGUCUAUAUACUUGAAUUUGUCAAGUACAUUUUCAAUAUAAUGAGACUAUGACAAUGAAAAUCCUUAUGGAGUUCUAUGGAUUCUCAUUCCUAAGCUCACAUCCGUAACUCCAAGGUCUUUCAUAUCGAACUUGCUCUCGAGCAUUCGUUUCAUUGCAUUUAUGUCUGAAACGUCUCUACCGAUGAUCAACAUAUCAUACACAUAUAAACACACAUGACUUGGUAAUUUAGAGUGUCUUUAAUAUAGACACAUUUAUCACAUUCAUUUAUUUUGAAGCUGUUUUCCAACAUGGUUUGGUCAAACUUUGAUUGCCAUUGCUUAGGUGCUUGUUUUAGUCCAUAAAGUGACUUAACAAGUUUACACACCUUAUUUUCUUUUCCUGAAAUCAAAAAACCCUCAGGUUGUUCCAUGUAAAUUUCUUCCUCUAAUUCUCCAUUUAGGAAUGCAGUUUUCACAUCCAUUUGAUGGAUUUCAAGACCAUAUACUGCUGCCAAGGAAAUUAACAUUCAAAUCGAUGUUAUCCUUAUUACUAGUGAGUAUGUAUCGAAGUAAUCAAGGCCUUCUUUUUGUUUGAAGUCUUUUACUACAAGUCUUGCCUUGUAUUUGUCAAUAGUACUAUCCGCUUUCAUCUUUCUUUUGAAGAUCUAUUUAGAACCUAAAGGUUUAUUUAUGGGAGGAUGAUCAACUAAUUCCCAUAUAUGGUUGCUUAAGAUUGAAUCAAUCUCACUAUUGACUGCCUCUUUCCAAAAGGAUGAGUCCAAAUAUGCCAUCGCUUUCUUAAAUGUUUGAGGCUUAUUUUCUAAGAGAAGUGUUAUAAAAUCCAAUCCAAAUGAAUUAGAUGUUCUUUGACAUGUACUACAUCUUGGAUUUUCUUCAUUAUGUACAUUCUCACUUGGUUCAUCUCGAGGUCGUUUAGACCCCCCACUAGACUGUUCAUGUCUAGUUUUAUACGGAUAAAUAUUUUCAAAGAAUUUAGCAUUAUCUGAUUCAAUUACCGUAUUUUCAUUAAUAUCCAGAUGUUCGGAUUUAUGAACCAAAAAUUGACAAGCUUUACUACUUUUUAAUCAUGUUCAGUGUCUAUUUAAAUGGGAGUAUGACUCAGCAAUGAGUGAACCCAAGGAUGGGAAUUCACCUACCAUAUGAGGGUGUGAUUCUUAGAAGCAAUCCUUGUAUUCCAGAAUUAUGUAGCCAGUAAGGUUGAGACAUUAAACCUGACAGUUGAGGGUUGAUGAGGUGGUUUAAUUUGACAGAUGAGGGUCAGUAGCUGUCCAGAUUUCAACCAUAAGCAGUAGAUUAGCAGUGAGUCCUCAUCAUUUAAGGAUGACAUGAUUAUUUCAUUAUUUUAGAUCAUUAUCAGUAGAUGGAGUUAGUUGGAGACAUGUUCCUUCAACUCCUUAUUCAGACAGUUAGAGGCUUUUUAGACUAUAGCAUGUUCAGACAGUCUAUUUCAGUAUUGGGUAUUUCUAUACCUCGUUAAGACAUUGUUUAUCAGUUAUGUUACAAAUUUAAAACUUAUGGACUUACAAAUUAUAUUCCGCAUAUUUUACAGUAUAAUAUUCAGUGCUCAGGUACAUAUAUCAAUCAUGGAUUAGCUGGUGGUCCUUGGGGAUUGCUAGCACUGUGUAGCAUUCUGGAUACCAGAUUCGGGUUGUUAUAGGUGCCCGUAAGGGUUUUCACCAAUAAGACUCUCUUAUUUUAUUUCUCUACGGAUUCCUUAUGCUGAGGAAGAUGAGUAGUUCCCAAAAUGCAUUAUCAUAUACAUUACAUGUUAAGCCUUAUUAUUCUUACAGAUUGAUCUAAAGGUCUUUGUUUAGUUGUAACUUGGCAUUUGGAUAAGGUUAGAAUGAAGGAUGUCAUGAGGCCCAAACGACACUUAAAGUGGGGUGGGACUUACAACUUUUGGAAAUGACUCAAACAAUGAGGAUUAACUCAUGCCCCGGUUUCUUUUGGCUGGGUGAUUCUAAAUUAUUUAUUUGGUUGGAUCGAGCCCAGAAUAGGGCAGCCUACAUAUCUCACUCCCAAAAGAGGAGAGUCAGGUCAUACGUAGUUUCGACAAUUUGUUCUUUUGCUUGAUUCUGACUUUUUUUUUUCUCUUUUGUUGACUCUUUUUCUCUUUGAAAUUUUUUCUGACUUUAUUUUUCUUGACACUCUUCUCUUUUCUUUCUUUUUGGACAUAUUUUUCUUUUUUUUAAUAAAAAUUCUGACUCUAGUGUUUUUCUCGACACUUUUCUUUUGAGCUUUGCUGUCUCUAUCUUGAUUCCAAAAGAGGUGUAUGAAAGAAAAUAAAACUAAGGCUCAAAUGGGUAAACAAAGGAUGACACAAUGUUUGGAUAGCAGAAUGAAAUGCCUUCGUUAUAUCAAUCCUUUAAAAUACAAGUACAUAUCAUCCAAUAUGAAAUGAAAAAUGAAGAUCAUUUGUUAUACUUUGACAACACUAACUUUAAUUGAGCAUGUGUGUCACAUCGUCUUCUACAGUUUUCCAGUAUACAACUCCACCUUUGUUGUACAUCUCUCACAUUACAUGACUCAUGCUUUUGUGGAGCUGAUUUUCUUUCUGUUCCUCUUUAUAUAGGAUCACACAGCCACUGCUUGACCUAAUUUAGAUAUGCCUUUCAAUUGAUGACAAAGUUAUUCUUAUGAUUCUCAAAAUAAUUGCCUUAAUUUUUAAAGAAGGCUUCAACUUGAUCACCAAAUGCCUCAACACUCUAUCUAUUUUCUCAGAUGCUCUCCUUUCUAACUUUAACCCUCUGAUUCAAAGUUCAUGCUUAAAUUGGAUUUUAAGAUCUAGCUAAAAAUUUCUCAAGCAUGUCAUAUCACUAAAACUAACAUAAAAUGUACUAUUAAAAGAAAACAAACAAACACAUAUUUAAAACAUAGAGGAAAAGGGACACUCCAUUUAGUUAAAAUGAAAUAUGAACAUAAAUGACAAAGGGACAAAACAAGAUAGAUCCCGAACUACAACCCUGAAAUAAUUUGAAUAACAGAAAAGAAAAGAAAAUAAACUACCAAACCCCUUUCUAGUAAGGAGAGAGAUGAUUUCUCAAUUACAUAAGCCUGACAUCUUAGCCACUGGUUUGCAUGUCAGCAUGACUAGAGCUUUCACCACUGGCAAUAUUCUGCACCAUAAUCAAUUUCUCUUGAAUUAUAUUUUCUAUUAUUCUUUACAAAGCACGACAAUCUUCAAUACCAUGACCCUGAUCAUUAGAAUGAUAUGAACUUCAUACAUUUGGAUUAAAACUUCUUGAAUACGUGUCAGGAGUAUACUAAAGGAGAGGAGUGAUCAUGCUCCAUUGUAUCAAUCUUUGGAAUAAACUAGCAUACGACUUUCUAAUUAGUGUGAAGCUAUCCCUCGACUGCAUGCAUGCAUAUUUGGAGAAUGACUCUAAGGAGUUGGUGCCAUUGUGAGUAACCCCUAGUCUUUAUAUGAAACAUCUUCUUUACCCGUAAGUCCUAGGGAACUUUUCACAGCCUUUUCUGCACUCUUCAUUUUUCCAACCAUUUUCUCUGGCUCUUCUAGCACACUAGACUUCUUGUUAAGAAAUUUUGGUGGUCCAAUUAACAUUGAUGUGGGCUCAGGAGUAUAGCAGUGAUCAUCAGGAGUAUUGAAAAUGGGUCCACUAGCAGAUUAGGGCAACACAACCAUUUGAUUAAUAGCCAAAAAUGAAGUCUCAGUAGAAGAUUGAGCAACAAAAGCACAGACAAUAUGAGGUGCUAUCAAUGCGGUAGAUUUAUACUGAAGGUCUAGAGAAUGAGUGAUGGAAGCAUCGGGAUGCUUUUGUCUUGGAAUGGAUUUCGAGGCAUGCUGUGGUGCAUUAACAACAGUAGGAAAUUGAAUUUACAAUUUUUAUAGAAAAUUCAAGGUAUUUGUAGGAGGUAGCCCACUGGCCCAAGCUCGAUACAUUUCAUUAUUUGUUGCCUAAAACUCACAAUUUCUUGUUUUAAACCCUCAUUUUCCUGACUCUUUGUUUGAUCCAUGAUGUCACUCUCUAUAUCCUUGUUAGACACAGCUAACCUUUCUUUGGAUUUGGUGUGAUAUGGAGGACCAUCCAGGAUGCCGUAAAUCAACCACCUUAAACUAACUGAACAAGAGGUAACAAAUGUGUUAGAGUUCAACAUUUUUUUCAAAACCUUUUUUUUCCUUUUUGAAAAAGGUCACCAAACCCCAAAAGGGUUCCUACGUAUCUCACUUCCGAGAGAGGAGAAUUAGGUGUGUGUAGUUUGUGAAGUUUCGCCAUAAAAGGGCUAAUAAAACUCAUUUUUUUUUUAUUUUUCUUGAAACCUUAAGAAGAAAAGAAAAUAACAAAUUGUCAAAAGAACUGACGAAAAUCUUUUAAAAUUUUUCAUUUUUAACAUCCCUAUACAAAAUGAAACUUAUGAUUACCAAAGAAAAAUCUUUUUAGGCUUUCGAUUUUGAAUUUCAUUCGAAAAUGAAACUUGAAGCUAUUAAAAGAAAAUCUUUUUGUAGUUUUCUUUUAAAGAUGUAUAUGAAACAUCUACUCUAAAUGAAGAGUGAAGAAAUUUUUUUUGAAUUUUUUAAAUAAGUUCACCGAAUCCUAGAAGAGCUGCCUACGUAUCUCACUCUCUCGGGAGGAGAAUCAGGUGUGUGUAGUUCGUCCAGAUUGGACAAUUAAGGAUUAAAUAACAAACUGAACCCUAACUUGAUAGAAACGACCAAAGAUAGAACUGUCAAUAAUUUUUUUUUUUGAGUUUUCAAUUUGACACUUCACAUAAAAAUGACACCAUUAACUAUGAAAGAAAAAUCUUUUUAGUAUUUUUAUUAUAUGAAAUGUACAAAACUUCUACCAUCUUUUUGAAUUUUCCUUUAUAAAAUGCUACUAUUGAAAGAAAAAUCUGUUCGAAAUUUUCAAAUUAAGAAUACUUGCUAAAGAAAACUAAAGAAAAAUCUUUUUAAUGCUUUAUUUUUUGAGUAAAUGAGUGCAAAAGGUAAAAAGUCUUUUUGAAUUUUGACUUGUGAAAAAUAAAAGCCAUAAAAAACACUAAAAAACUACGAAACUCUUUUUUUCUAUCUUUUUUCUUUUUUUUUUCAAUAUUUUCUAGCCUACACACUUUUCUUUAAUUCUAGCACGUGUUUUUCCUCAAAUCAGUCCAUAAAUAAACUUGUUACCCUCAAGGAUGCAACAAUUAGCACGUAGGGAUGCUUUAAGGGUGAGUCUCCUACAAAGGACCAAGUGGGUCCUUUUAGGUCUCAAUAUUAUAUAGAUAAGCAUGACCUAAAGGCUGACCUACGCUAGAGUCCACUAACAAGGCUGUUUGGGGGAGCGUAUGGUCGAUAGUGGUUGCGAUUGCUUUCCACCCACUCCUGUAACUCCUCAAUUUUCUGAACUGAAAUGCCAUAUGGUGCUUAUGACCCCGAAGGACCACAAGCUAACCCUUUUAUGAUAUCUGUACCUGGGUACUACAUAUUAUAAUAAAAUACAUGCAGAAAACUGGCAGAAAAGUGCCACAAGGUUCAAAACAUGUGAAAUAAUCAAAGUCUGAAAACUAAAAACUUAUACAUCUGUCCAAAAAGCCUCUAACUGUCUGAACUGUGGAGUUGAUGGGAUAUGUUCCCAACUAACUCCGUCUAAUAAAAUAAAUUUAAUACAAUAAUGUACCGAAAUAAUAAUCAUCCUCGAAAGAUGAGGACUCACUAAUACGUCUACUGCUGCUGGCUGAGUCUGGGCUGCUAGAGAGGCUUUGGAGCUUGUGCUUCUAAACCUAUAGCAUCAAUUAAAACACCAUAGCGCAAAUGCGUCAGUACGGGAAUGUACUAAGUAUGCAAAUAUGGUAAGGCUAAAUGAAAGGGCUUAUGCAUGAACAAUGUUGACUGAUAUGAAUGUGAGAAUACAUGCAUGCAUACAUACAUACAUAAGUAACUAUAAUCGAACUCGUGGUAAUACUAGCUACUGAAUCUGAAUGCUGACAACAUGGGUUUACUGAUACUGAGAUACUAAAUAGAUAAAUAACUACCUAUGACAGUUUGAAUUAUGAAGAACUGUCUUGAUUGAUUAUGUCUAACAGUCCUGAAAUCGAAUACUGAUAAUGUUAACUAUGAAGACUGAUAUAAUUGAUAUGUCUGUAAUGAUCGUCCUAACUGAUGCAACUGAUACUGAGCGACUAUAUCUGACAGUCUAAUCUUCUAGUAAUGGUUGAGAGUGACUAAAGUUAAGAUCAGUCCUAACUAAUGGGUGAUCUCUAGAACUGAUAUUGAGAAUACUAAACUAAAUUUGAGGCUGAGAUAAAGCCUGUCUGAUGGGUGACCUCUGUAAGUACUGAUACUGAAUAACUUAUGUGAGACCAAGCCUACCCAGUGGGUGGUCUAUGAAUCUUUGGAACUAUCUGAGUUCCUUACUGAGAUUGAUGACUGUAUCUGACAGUCCUGAUUUCUGAGUUCUACUCUAAAAACUGAUACUAAAACUGUAACUGUGGGAGUUCUCACUUAACUGACAUGCCCCAAAUCUGACUAGUGGGGUCCAACCUGUAACCCCAGCUGGAAGGGUAUCAAUACCGUGCCAUGGGUAAAUACCUCUCUAGUCAAGCCUAUUUGGCGGGUGACCCUCGUAGGAAGUCGAUCCUAAGGCAGUAUAAUAGUCAAGCCUCUCUAACAGGUGACAAGCCUUUCUCUGACGGGUGACUCCUACAUCCUGUACUGGCUAUGCAGUUCUAGAGUUCAGGGAUUUCUUCUAAUGACUCUGCCUCUCUGAUGGGGAGCCGUCAUCCCUGCACUCGCUCGGUGAUAGCUCCUACACCCAACCGAAAGACUCUAAUCUGAUCCUUAACUGAACUUAGAUAGAGCUGAAUCUUGUUACUGAUUAUCUUACUUGACUGAUCUGACUGAGUUUGCUUGGUUCCAAUAUCUGACGGAAUACUUUUGAAUUCUACUUUCUGUCUGAAUACAACUGAAUUUUGUAACUUACAAGGCCUUACUAGAAUCUAAACUGAAUACUGAGCUUGAUUAAACUGAAUACUGAGGUUUACUGAUUUUUCUUACUAUUCAGUCAUUAACUGAGUUCUAUUGAUCAUAGAAUGACUGAGAUUAUCUUAAGACUGACUCGGUUCUAGGCACAGAACUAUAUUUUUUGGGUACAAGUACCCCCAGGACUCGAUAGAAGGAAACUGACAUGACUUAACGCUUGAAUAUAUGACCAACAUCACAUCAUAACAAUAAUCUAUCACAUCAACAUCAUAACAACAGUCUAUCAUUCGCAACAUGAUCAAGGAUGUAUAACUUCAAGCACUUGGGAACAUUCAACAUGUAGAUCGUAUAUAAAGGCAUGCUAUUGUCUCAUGAAUUAUUCAACAAGGACACAUGAAUAGGGAGUACAUGCAACAUAUCAUACUUCACUCAUCUUGGCAAUACAACAAACACUUAGCAUACUUUAUUUGACACAACAUUGGGGAUUUUAUACUUAGUGUACUACAAUGGUACUAUUUUCUUCAUAUAAGCAUUCUAGCAUACACAUGUGAGGCACACUUUAGUCAUACAACAAUUCAUUUCACCAAAUUAACAUAAUUACGUGAUUCAACAUGCUUCUUGAAGAGAUUUUAUCAUGAACAUCACAUAAUCAACAUACACUAAAGUCAAUACUUCCAUCCUUAUGAUCAAAGCAUGAAUUAAAAAUCAUUAUCAACAUGGACAUCAUCUUCAAACCACAUAUCUCAUGGGAAUUCAUAAAAAUAUAAUCUUGGAACUUUAAAAAUAGAUUUUAAAAAUUCUUGGGCGGAAGGGACCCAAGAAAGAACAUCUGCAUACCUUAGUAUCCUGAUUUGGAGAGACUUGACGAAGGAAUUCUUGAAACUUUGGGUUGAAACCCUAGGUUGUUCUUGAGAUAAAAUUGAGAGAAAACCUUAUAAUUUGGGUUGAAUAAGGAUGAAUUUUGUGUUAAAGAGGUAUAAAAAGGGUUGGGAAAAAACCCUUUUGCCAUUAAAAUUUUAGGGCUGAAAGCUGGAAAUUUCAGGAGCAUGCUAUGGAAUAUGCGUUGCAUGCUCUAGUCCUCCGCUCCGGAGCAUGCUUCGCAUGCUAGGACCAUGCUAUAGAGAAUGUGUCGCAUGCUAAUCGCAUGCAACCACUGGUUUGAAAUCCAAACAUGCCCUAAACGGACUCCAAAAAUUUUAAAACUUACCCGGAAUGUACUAUGACCUUGCCCCAUUGCAACGCAACUUAAAAAUCCAAAAAACAAAGGUCGGAAAAAGGUCAUGAAAUAAUUCAUCAAAGUUAGCAAGCUUAUGGAAUGAAUAAAGUUUCAACACUUAGCCAAAUUUUUGAGUGUUAAGCUUCUCUUGAUGAGCUUAAAAAAGCUUUACCGACUCGGAAAGUUCACGAGGUCUUACAACUCCAUACCAGCCUAUGGCUCUCCCUCCUAAGAUAAGGGUUACUCAACUAGAGAUCGUUUCCACAAUGUGUACUAUGGACUUGUUAUGAAAGAAAUGACUCGGGUUAUGCAAAUGCUGAUAGAUAUAAAACGGUAACAGAUACGAGAAGACUUGUAAACACGUAGCACGUAGGCACUCAACAAUGAUAAAAAAAUAACACAAACACCAACACAAACAAAACUUCUAUACACCUAUAAUGUCAAGUUAAGACAAUACAACUCAAAAAAAUAAGCUUGAAUUCUGAAAAAUUCCUAUUAGCGUCGCUAGAGCUGUCACACCCCCUUUUAUUUACCAAAAAGAAUUAAUUUUAUUUUAAGUUUGAAAGAAUUUUUAUUAUUAAGUUACAAAAGAUGAAGUUUGUUUUGAAAAGAAUACUUUUUCAAUUAACUCAGAGUCGCCACUUGGCAUAAAUCGGGUGUGCCAAGUCACCUUUGGAAAUCCUUUUCAAAAUGAUUUGACUCUAAAAAUGAUCCGCAAAUAGAGAUUCCAGCUAAGGAAUUUUGUUGACCGAGGAAAGGUGUUAGGAACCCUUCGGUCCCGUGGUUCAACCACGGUCACUCUGUAGAGUAUAUUGGCAAGCAUGAACACUAUGAAUGUACAAAUGUAAUGCCCCAAUUCGCUGAACCAAAACGUUACACGAUGCUUAUGAACCCGAAGGACCACAAUCUAACCCAUGACUGAUAUCUCUACCUGUAUACUGCAUAAUAUAAUAUGAAAAUGCGAAAACAUGCACUAAAAGGCCAUAAGGUUCGCAACUGAACAUAAUCUGAAAUAUAUGAUAUUUGAUAAGGGUAAUGGAAUACCCAAAACAAAAUGAAAAUACUGAAAUCAUGAUAGUCUGCAUCUAGUCUAAAAGUCUCUACUGUCUGAAUAAUCUGAAUAAGGAGUUGAUGGGACAUGCCCCCAACUAACUCCAACUAAUAAACUAAUAAAUGAGAUUUAUAAAGAAACAAUCAUGUCCUCGAAGGAUGAGGACUCACUUCUGACUCUAGCUACUGAAAACUGGGAUCUACAGUUGAUUUGGAGCAUGUGUUUCUGAACCUAUGGUGUAACAUAAAAGAAAGCACCAUAGAGCGAAUGCGUUAGUACAUAUGUACCAAGUAUACAUGUGAGGUAGGCUAAAUUCAAUGGUUCAUAUGCAUGAAUAAUGCUAACUGACUUUCUAACAUGAACGUGAGAAUACAUGCAUAAAUACGUAACUGUAACUGACAACGUGAUAUCAUGAUUUACUGAGUCUGAAUACUGAUAACAUAACAUGAUUGAUAACAUGAAUGCCUGAAUCUGAAUGUGACUGAUGACAUGGGUGACUGUAUCUGAUAGUCCUGAAUCUGAUUGAAUUAUCUAAGUUUUGUAAUGUAUCUGAGGUGACUGUAGCUAACAGUCCUAAAAUCUGAAGAACUAUUUGAGUUCUAUUACUAAGAUUGAUUGACUGUGACUGAUAGUCCUGAUUUUGUAACAUGAAACUGUGGAAAGUAGUAUUUAACCGACAUGCCCCAAAGGUGCUAUAAUAGCUGAGCUGAGGUCCAAUCUAUGCCCUGAUUGGAAGGGUGUCAAUACCACGCCACUAGUCAAGACAACAUAUGAGUAACCUUUAUAUAAUAGGUAACUCUAGUGAGAACGGUGGGAACUCUCAUAUAACAGGUUAAGUACCUCAUCUACCCUCAUAUAGCAGGUUACGAUGUCUCAACCUACGCUGGCUACAUAGUUCUGGAAAACAAGGAUUGCUUCUUGGAAUCACACCCUCAUAUAGCAGGUGGGUUCCCAUCCUUGGGUUCACUUUGUGCUAAUCCCUACUCCCAUCUAAAUAGAUACUAAACAUGAUGUGUCGAAGCUGAUCAUGAGCUAUGUUACUGAAUUUUGCUGACUGAUGAAAUGCUACUGAUAUCUGACAACUGAUUGAAUCAUGAGAUCAUGGAGAUAUUUCCUGAGUCGUAAGACUAUAUGAAGUCUAAGAGUUCAUAGCUUGACUCAGAGUAUCAUGAAAACAUGACAUGGUUCUAGGCACACAGCUAAUGUUUCGGGUACAAGUACCCCCAGGACUCGAUAGAAGGAGUCUUAUAUAGCAUGAUUUACUUGAAGACUUGAAUGACUUCAUAAUACAUACUACAUUCAUAGGAGCAUUUCAUCAAACAUGUAAUAGGCAUAAACUUGUACAUACAUAGGGAUUUCAUGAUAUCAUGCUUGUUAGACAAUAUUCCUUCAUCUAGGCAUUUAAUCAAACACAUUAUAGGCAUGGUACAUAUAAACAUCAUUAUUCAAUUCUAAAUUCCUCAUUCAAGGGUUUAAAUCUUACGGUUGCAUGAAUCUAUGGCUAUAGUAAUUAAACCCACAUAGAAAUUAUCAACAAUCAUGGAAUAGAAUCCAAUUUCAUGUAGAAAAUCCAUAACUUGAGUUUAGAAAAGGGAUUCUUAGACUUCAUGGACGAAAAGGGGGUCCAUGAAUGAACACUAUGCAUACCUGGGAUAAUGUUCUUGAACUUGGAGAAGUGAAAAUCCCUUAAUUCUUGAAAAGGAUUGUAUUGUGUUCGUGGAGAUUAAAUUUAUAGAGAAACCCAAAUUUUUCUUGUGAAAUAAUAAUGGAUAAAGUGGCUGAAGUCGUGAAUAAAUGGGUAUAUAUAGAUGGGUGCUAAAUGACCAAAAUACCCCUAUUAAAAUGACCUGGAACAGGUGAACAUAAAAUUUAAUGGUGGCCUCCGACGGUCCGUCGGACCUGCGACAGUCCGUUGGGCCACGCCGUCGAACCUGGGCAGAACCUGAAGCCACUGGAAGCCUCUGACGGUGGACUCCGACGAUCUGUCGGGCCAUGCCGUCGGAAAGGAAUAUAAACUGUGUCCACUGCAUCCAUUUGACGGCGAUCUCCGAAGGCCAAUCGGGCUACCGACGGCACAUCAAAUUCUACCGUCGGAAUGGUGCAGUCUGACUGUUUCCAUAAAAAGUCCAUAACUUCCUCAUCUGACACUGGAUUUGAUAAAAUUGGUAUCGAUGGAAAGCUUAAAUAAUUUUUCACGUGAUGGAAAGUGAAAAUCAUAAAAAUAUCACGUGUAUAAAAAUAAAUUCAUAUUUCAAAGUAAGUUCAAACAUCCUGGUGAUGAUUUCAAGCUAAGAAAAGGCAUGGGUAUUACAAUAAACCAACAAACAAACAAUCAAACAAACAAAACCAAAAUUAGUGUUCAGUCAAAUUUAUUAUAGACCCAAAAUAAAAAGGUACUAAAAUGUAAACCUACGCUAACCUACACUAAUCCAAAAUUACGCUCUAAUACUUUACCCGAUGCCUUGGGCCUUGAUCACAAACCUCUUUUGUGUACAUGAUACUUCAGGGCAUUCCCCAAUGAAUAAGUACAAUGUGACCUCGGGAAAUUCCCUGACGAAUGAAUACAUUUGAUGAAAUGUAAUAAAAGUGGAGAAAAUCAUUCAACACAGACAUUCACACAUUCAAUGAUAUAGAAUCCUACAAGUUGCCUACCCUAAAACCUAAAAUUUGCCUAUCGAUUUUAGCUUAAAACAUGACACUAUCGGGUUCAACAACAUAAUCAGUGUUCAUUUCAAAUGACAUAACCAUCAAUGAAUCAAACUAAUCAAUAUUCACCUUUGUUAAUUUUCAAUUCCCACCCCUCCUUUAUUCUCAAAUUACCAAUUGCAAAUCUUAAACUAGAUAUCAUUUCAUCACACAAUACAUAACCAAUGGAACUAAUAAUGAAUCAAAACUAAGCAACUAUUCACCAACAACAAGGAUCAAGCAACACACGAUAUUCAAUCCAACACACCAAAUAUAAUAAAUAAUGAAAUAAAAAGAGGAAAAGAGUAGAAUUGAACCUCAAUUAUCGAUUUUGAUAUAUCGAACAUAGAACCGUAUCCAAAAUCCCUCGAUUUGAACCUCAAUAAAGAACUCCACAUGGACCUCGAUAUACUCCCUCGAUUCUAUUUUCUGCCAACUUGAAUAAAAAAUGCGAACCAACAAUAAACCGUACCAAAUUUGUGCCAAACGAUCCCCGUUUCACUCGUUUACCGGUAGAUUCCAUCAGAAUCAAACCAAAACAAGUCGAGUUCAAUUGGUUUUUCAGUUGUUGGGUCGUGGGAGCUCUGGUGAUAAGCGUUUUCCAGUGGUUUUAGGUGACGGUUUGGUCAUCUUUCUCCGGUGAAUCAAUGGAGCUAGUUUAGGAGUGGGUCUGAUUGGCGUCGAAGACGGAUUCAUCGCCAAAACAGUGAUCCCCACUGGCUAUUUCUCUCUUUUCUCUCUAAUUCCUCUCUGUUUUUGAUCACUCUCCUGCUCCUUCACUCUUUUUUUUCUGUUUCUACCCACUGUGUCUGUGUCUACAUCCGAUUAUAGGUGUUGUUUCGUGGUGAGCUGUGUGUUUCCAUGGAAAGAUGAAUUCUGUGUGUGUGUUAUUGUGUAGAAGAGAAUGGUGGUGAGGUCCCUAUUGUGUGAUUGUGUGUGUAUAUGUAACUUUUGUGAGAUGGGUAUUGUCUCCUGUAUGUAUAUUGUAUGGGUGUAUAUUG